UACGGGGGGGGCAAGCGUUGUUCGGAAUUACUGGGCGUAAAGGGCUCGUAGGCGGCCAACUAAGUCAGACGUGAAAUCCCUCGGCUUAACCGGGGAACUGCGUCUGAUACUGGAUGGCUUGAGUUUGGGGAGAGGGAUGCGGAAUUCCAGGUGUAGCGGUGAAAUGCGUAGAUAUCUACAGGAACUCCGGUGGCGAAGGCGGCGUGCUGGAUCUCUUCUGACGCUGGAGGCGCGAAAGCUAGGGGAGCAAACGGG
rnacentral:rRNA from 1 species